AAUAUUGGACAAUGGGGGCAACCCUGAUUCAGCCAUGCCGCGUGUGUGAAGAAGGCCUUCGGAUUGUAAAGCACUUUAAGUUGGGAGGAAGGGCUUUAGGCUAAUACCCUGAAGUUUUGACGUUACCAACAGAAUAAGCACCGGCUAACUACGUGCCAGCAGCCGCGGAAAUACAGAGGGUGCAAUCGUUAAUCGGAAUUACUGGGCGUAAAGCACGCGUAGGUGGUUCAGUAAUAGGGGUGUGAAAUCCACGGGCUUAACCUGGGAACUGCUUUCAUAACUGCUGAGCUAGAGUACGGUAGAGGGUAGUGGAAUUUCCUGUGUAGCGGUGAAAUGCGUAGAUAUAGGAAGGAACACCAGUGGCGAAGGCGACUACCUGGACUGAUACUGAAACUGAGGUGCGAAAGCGUGGGGAGCAAAC
rnacentral:rRNA from 1 species